CUUUCAUCAGAAAGGACCUGAUGUCAUCUCACUAAUAUCUGAAAACUUCACAAUGGAUUGUUUUAAGAUGAAAACCAAGGAGCUACUUUUGAACCACCAGCAAAUGGAAGUAUAGAAUCAGAGGAAGAGUUGGCAGAGAUCCACUAUAAUGUUGAAUAUCUGGGACAGACACGCAAGCAAUGUGCGGAGGGCAGAGAGAAGAGGACACACAGAGAAGAGAUAAACUUACAACCUAGAUUAUUAAUCUUUGUAACAAAGAUGGCGGCCACUGAAGGUGAAGACAGAAGGGGCUGUGUGGGCCGGGGUUACCGGAGGUUUGGAGGCUUACUCUGUGACCCACAAAGGGUGUGGCUCUAGAAACAAAAAAUUGGAGUGUAUUGGUGGGGAGCCCUGGGGAUUGAAGACAUAGGCUGGGAUUGGUUGUGAAGCGUCAUUCAUGAUACUUCAAUCAACUCUGGAAAAUGAAGACUGUAAGAGAUUUUAGUCAGAAGGUUGUAUAGUUGCUCAUGGGUAGAUGCUGAAGGAAGUAGGGUGAAAACAAGGGCACAAGGACAUGCUCCAAGUGGUUGGGUGGUUUCACAGCACUUCCUGGUCGGAGGUCUGGGGGAGAUAACAAGCUGAACAAGAAAGAGCAGGUCAGGAUCACUCCCAAGGGCAGCCAUCAGCCCUCCACCCCUACCAGUCAGCAAAUAUUCAUUUGCAUGAAUAUAGAAGCAUCCUCCUUCCUCUUCCUUGCCUCUGAGACCUUCCCUAGGACUUAUGGUAAGGAAUGCGUUGAUUAAAAGCACCCGGAAUGGUGCAGCUAAUUGUAACUUAA